AUAUACCUGGGGUUUGGCAAAUGCCUGUUAAAUGGCUUCAUUACCCCUUGAAUGGCUCUUUAACAGUUUCAAUGUUGUGCUAAUAGGUCUGGCAGCCUGGAACGCCUUUUCAUUUUCAUUUCAUUUCAUUUCAGACUCGGAGCCUGCAGGAAGGGUCAGAACAGGGAUAGGAAAGGCUGAUGGGUGGACACUAAGACCCAGUGGUGCCCCAAAUUUUCAGGUGCCCUACGUAGCUGCGUAAGGACAGCCCUGCACGAAGCAGACACGGAGAGAAAGGAGCCUAACGGGUCUGCAGGCAGAGGUGAGGACGGGAGAGCCAUCACCACCCGAGGGCACAUCUGCUGGGGCUGAGCAAAUUCCCAAACUUCCCACCAGGAGGUGCCAGUAUGCUGCUGCAAAUGUGGCUUUGAGGGUCUCUCCAUCCACACCAGCAGAAUGGCUGAGCCAAAUUUGGAGAAGAAGGAAGAGGACUCGGGAUGACAUGUUUCAAGAAAUUCUGCAAGGCUCUGCUGCUUCAGAUAAUGAGCACAGGGCUUGGAGGAUCACUCUUGCAGACAGUAUGGAUGGGGACAGAGCGCAGAGGAGACAGGCAUAAGAAAAGAAGAGGAAUGUGCAGCAGGAGAUUCUUGCACUUCUCAGGCAGCAAACAGACAUGCUGCCGACUCUGGUGGACCUGAAGGUUCAACAAUCCCAUGCUCGCCUCCCUCUGCAGCCCAUAAAGAGCUUCAUAUCAGGACCUCCCUACACCUCCUCUCAACAUUCCUCGUGGCAUCAGGGGCUGCUGUACUAUCUCUACUGUGGUUAGAUGUUCAGCUGUGUGUGUGUGUGUGUUCUCUGUGUGCUGCCCCAGCUCUGUGCAGACAGCCAGCACAGCAGACCUCAAGCGAACUGCCCAAUGACCACAAGAUCCAUUAAGGCACGAAGGCACCUAGCCAGGUUUAUUGUUGACAAAGCACGGAAAUAGCACCUGGCACACUCUACGAGGAUACUAAGACAUGUAUGCCCAUGACAAUGGAUGCAGCUCAGUGAAUGGUGGGACUUUCCAUUCCCCCCUCGGCUGGACCAAGACACUCUCAGAGAUACUUCUUGUUUCUAUCAAGUUACAUACUGUAGAAACAAGUUACAUACUGCCCCUCUGACAUAGUUAGUUACUGCCCCUUGACGUGGCUAGUUAUUACCCAUCUCCUUGUACAUGUGGGUUUGAUCAAAACAUCUUUAUUCAUCACAUUGUCAUCCUGACCUUAUCUUUUAGGAGGCGUCUGUGUGUUCCUAUUAUCCUGGGGGAAUGUUUUUGUCCCAUCCUUGAUAUUGGGAUGUUCUGGUACCAAUCUUCUGGAAUGUGUUUGCAUGAGUACUCUGUGCCUAGUACUUCGUAAGAAUAUGUGUUUCUGCAAUAUCAGCCCUGUUCUUGACAGAUUCUGUGAACUUGCAAGGAGGCAGAGCCUGAUGUUUGCUCACAGCCUGAGUUUUUCUAACUUUGCUUUACAUCAGCAAAGCUUGCCCACUACUGUAGCUUAGGCCUCUAAUACAAGAGCUUAUAUCUCAGGCUCUCUCCCUACUACACCUACCACUCUACCCCAGGUGACAUUAAAGAUAUGCACAGCCACCAAUACACUGACCUGAAAUGGAAAUGACUGUUCUUUCCCUUAAUAAAUUACGGAAAAAGAACUUAUGAAGUUUUAUUAAGUUAUAAAUAUUUUUCUAUUUGCAUUGUUAUGGAAUAAAAGUCUGUUUAUGGAAA